rnacentral:rRNA from 1 species
UACGUAGGGGGCAAGCGUUGUCCGGAUUUAUUGGGCGUAAAGAGCUCGUAGGCGGCUCACUAAGUCGGAUGUGAAAACUCCAGGCUCAACCUGGGAACUGCGUCUGAUACUGGAUGGCUUGAAUCCGGGAGAGGGAUGCAGAAUUCCAGGUGUAGCGGUGAAAUGCGUAGAUAUCUGGAGGAAUACCGGUGGCGAAGGCGGCAUCCUGGACCGGCAUUGACGCUGAGGAGCGAAAGCCAGGGGAGCAAACGGG